UACGAAGGGGGCUAGCGUUGCUCGGAAUCACUGGGCGUAAAGCGCACGUAGGCGGAUUGCUAAGUCAGGGGUGAAAUCCUGGAGCUCAACUCCAGAACUGCCUUUGAUACUGGCGACCUUGAGUCCGGGAGAGGUGAGUGGAAUUCCUAGUGUAGAGGUGAAAUUCGUAGAUAUUAGGAAGAACACCGGUGGCGAAGGCGGCCCACUGGUCCGGUACUGACGCUGAGGUGCGAAAGCCAGGGGAGCAAACGGG
rnacentral:rRNA from 1 species